rnacentral:rRNA from 1 species
GUGUGUAAGCGCAGCGAUGCGUUGAGCUAACCGGUACUAAUGAACCGUGAGGCUUAACCUUACAACGCCAAAG